rnacentral:rRNA from 1 species
UACAGAGGGGGCAAGCGUUGUUCGGAAUUAUUGGGCGUAAAGGGCUCGUAGGCGGUUGGUCACGUCGGGAGUGAAAACUCAGGGCUCAACCCUGAGCGUGCUUCCGAUACGGGCCGACUAGAGGUAUGCAGGGGAGAACGGAAUUCCUGGUGUAGCGGUGGAAUGCGCAGAUAUUGGGAAGAACACCUGAGGCGAGGGCGGGUUGCUGGGCCGACACUGACGCUGAGGCGCGAAAGCCAGGGGAGCGGAACGGG